UUGACUGUGCUAAGGUAGCAUAAUAAAUUGGCUUUUAAUUGAAGUCGGGAAUGAAAGGGUGUUUGGAGUUAUUCUGUCUUAUUUUUAUUUUUUAAAAAUUACUAAUGAGGUGAAAAUUCCUCAGUGCUUAUCUGAUAGACGAGAAGACCCUAAGAAUUAUUACAACUAUUAAAUUGAAUUAAUAAAAGUUUUUGUUGGGGCAACAGCUUUGAAUAACCAAAGUUAAAAUUUAUCAUAAAAAGAUUAUAUUAAAAACGGAUUUAAUUACCUUAGGGAUAACAGCAUAAUUAUAUAUUAGAUUGUGACCUCGAUGUUGGAUUAAGGCCU
rnacentral:rRNA from 1 species